rnacentral:rRNA from 1 species
AUUGAACGCUGGCGGGAUGCCUAACACAUGCAAGUCGAACGAGUGGCGGACGGGUGAUUAAUGUAUGGGACCCUGCCCGAUGGAGGGGGAUAACUACUGGAAACGGUAGCUAAUACCGCACUACAUCGGAUGUGCCCAGAUGGGAUGAGCUAGUAGGUGGGGUAAAGCCUCACCUGGGCGACGAUCCCUAGCUGGUCUGAGAGGAUGCCCAGCCACACUGGAACGGAGACACGGUCCAGACUCCUACGGGAGGCAGCAGUGGGGGAUAUUGGACAAUGGGCGAAAGCCUGAUGCAGCCAUGCCGCGUGUAUGAAGAAGGCCUUCGGGUUGUAAAGUACUUUCAGCAGGAAAGCGUUACCCGCAGAAGAAGCACCGGCUAACUCCGUGCCAGCAGCCGCGGUAAUUC